CGGGACGUAGCGCAGCCUGGUAGCGCGCCUGCUUUGGGAGCAGGAGGCCGCGAGUUCGAAUCUCGCCGUCCCGA
rnacentral:tRNA from 1 species